rnacentral:rRNA from 1 species
UACGGAGGGUGCAAGCGUUGUCCGGAGUUAUUGGGUUUAAAGGGUGCGUAGGCGGCCCAUUAAGUCCGUGGUGAAAGCCAACAGCUCAACUGUUGAACUGCCAUGGAUACUGAUGGGCUUGAGUACAGACGAGGUAGGCGGAAUGGAUGCUGUAGCGGUGAAAUGCAUAGAUAGCAUCCAGAACCCCGAUUGCGUAGGCAGCUUACUAGGCUGUAACUGACGCUGAGGCACGAAAGCGUGGGGAGCGAACAGG